rnacentral:rRNA from 1 species
UGCAAGUCGAGCGGACUUAAAAAGCUUGCUUUUUAAGUUAGCGGCGGACGGGUGAGUAACACGUGGGCAACCUGCCUGUAAGACUGGGAUAACUUCGGGAAACCGGAGCUAAUACCGGAUAAUCCUUUCCUACUCAUGUAGGAAAGCUGAAAGACGGUUUACGCUGUCACUUACAGAUGGGCCCGCGGCGCAUUAGCUAGUUGGUGAGGUAACGGCUCACCAAGGCGACGAUGCGUAGCCGACCUGAGAGGGUGAUCGGCCACACUGGGACUGAGACACGGCCCAGACUCCUACGGGAGGCAGCAGUAGGGAAUCUUCCGCAAUGGACGAAAGUCUGACGGAGCAACGCCGCGUGAGUGAUGAAGGUUUUCGGAUCGUAAAACUCUGUUGUUAGGGAAGAACAAGUACGAGAGUAACUGCUCGUACCUUGACGGUACCUAACCAGAAAGCCACGGCUAACUACGUGCCAGCAGCCGCGGUAAUACGUAGGUGGCAAGCGUUGUCCGGAAUUAUUGGGCGUAAAGCGCGCGCAGGCGGUCCUUUAAGUCUGAUGUGAAAGCCCACGGCUCAACCGUGGAGGGUCAUUGGAAACUGGGGGACUUGAGUGCAGAAGAGAAGAGUGGAAUUCCACGUGUAGCGGUGAAAUGCGUAGAGAUGUGGAGGAACACCAGUGGCGAAGGCGACUCUUUGGUCUGUAACUGACGCUGAGGCGCGAA